rnacentral:rRNA from 1 species
AACGAACGCUGGCGGCAGGCCUAACACAUGCAAGUCGAACGCAUCGCAAGAUGAGUGGCGCACGGGUGAGUAACACGUGGGAAUGUAUCCUUUGGUUCGGAAUAACGUCUGGAAACGGACGCUAAUACCGGAUGAGCCCUUAGGGGGAAAGAUUUAUCGCCGAAGGAGCAGCCCGCGUCUGAUUAGGUAGUUGGUGGGGUAAAGGCCUACCAAGCCGACGAUCAGUAGCUGGUCUGAGAGGAUGAUCAGCCACACUGGGACUGAGACACGGCCCAGACUCCUACGGGAGGCAGCAGUGGGGAAUAUUGGACAAUGGGCGCAAGCCUGAUCCAGCCAUGCCGCGUGAGUGAUGAAGGCCUUCGGGUUGUAAAGCUCUUUCGCACACGACGAUGAUGACGGUAGUGUGAGAAGAAGCCCCGGCUAACUUCGUGCCAGCCGCCGCAGUAAGAC